rnacentral:tRNA from 2 species
GGUACUAUGGCCGAGUGGUCUAAGGCGAUAGAUUUAAGCCCCAUUACCGUGAGGUGCCUGUGUUCAAAACCCCAGUGGUACCA